UACGUAGGGUGCGAGCGUUAAUCGGAAUUACUGGGCGUAAAGCGUGCGCAGGCGGUUUUGUAAGCCAGAUGUGAAAGCCCCGGGCUUAACCUGGGAAUGGCAUUUGGGACUGCAAGGCUUGAGUGCGGCAGAGGAGACUGGAAUUCCUGGUGUAGCAGUGAAAUGCGUAGAGAUGUGGAGGAAUACCGAUGGCGAAGGCAGCCCCCUGGGCCAAUACUGACGCUCAUGCACGAAAGCGUGGGGAGCAAACAGG
rnacentral:rRNA from 1 species